AAUUUCCACGAAGCAUUUGUUACCUUCCAAUCAGGUGUCUCCGUCGGUAAAAAGAGCGAAAAACGUGGAAAACUCCAAAGAGUCAGGCAAAAAGAAUAAAGUGAUUUUAUAAAAGAAAAUCAAGCAACGCUAUUUUCAGCAAUAUGUCACCCGGGACAUUUUCAACAGACUCAACGUGUCCUGGCGGUACCUACUUCCUGCAAGCAGCCACAAGGAAAUAAAGGAAACGAGUAUCCACUCUUGGCUUAAUAAACUUUUCAUAAUCAUUUACUUAACCUAUGCAAUUUUGAGCUCUGACGGCAACAAGGCUGGAUACCUAGUUACAUAUACGAUAUCGGGAAAUAACUAUACGUACGUCAAAUAAAAGAUAACGAUUCACGAUAUCGACUUUUAAGUAUUAACUGAGAAUAUCUCGGACUUGGUAAGUUGGACGCGAAGAAGCCG